rnacentral:ncRNA from 1 species
GAAAGCUUGGUUCUAGUUUCUUUCCUAUCUCUUCUCCGUCUGCCACAUGCAAGAAAAAAGCAUCCCAGCGGACCUUCUCUUCAUUCAUCCAAUAGAAGAGCCCAGAAUAAGUAACAUUACAGAAGCUAAAAAUAAUCCGCGGUCAGCAGUGCUUAACAUUACACAAUUUAAGAAAUUAAGAUGUAGACAGGUCAAACAGAAGAGGCCAAUACCGUGCCAGCAGCCGCGGUUAUACGUUACCUUCAAGUUAGGAAAAUCCGGUGUAAAGAAGGGAAGGCAACCAGACUCAUCUACAAGGAAAUUAACAGCAGUAACAAGCUAAAGCACAUUCAAAGCAAUGAAGAAGCCCACCCAAUAAGAAAGGAUAUAAACUAGGAUUAGAUACCCUACUAUACCUUUCCCUUAUCACAAAAAUCACCAGAGCAGUACGGUCCAACUAAAACUUAAAGAACUUGGCGGUUUUCUAGAUCUCCUUGGAGGAGCUUGUCAUCUAAUUGAUAACCCUCAAGACACCUCACCUAUUCAAGAAUAACAGCUUGUAUACCAUCGUCGCCAGCUCACCUCAAAAGAGCGUGAGCCAAACGAACCAACCUCACAACGUCAGAUCAAGGUGCAGUCAAUGAAUAGGGGAUUGAUGAGCUACCAUACUUACAAAAUAGAGGAAGUAAAAAUGAAAAACCUACCGAAAGAGGAUUCAACAGUAACAGAAUAUAUAAAAAUUCUGUGAAGUAAGCUCUAGAAUGCGCACACAUCGCCCGUCACUUUCCUCGCUAGAGGAGAAAAGUCGUAACACAGUAGGUGUACCGGAAGGUGCUACCUGGAACAAA